GAUGAACGCUGGCGGCGUGCCUAAUACAUGCAAGUCGAGCGAACAGAUGAGAAGCUUGCUUCUCUGAUGUUAGCAGCGGACGGGUGAGUAACACGUGGGUAACCUACCUAUAAGACUGGGAUAACUCCGGGAAACCGGGGCUAAUACCGGAUAAUAUUUUGAACCGCAUGGUUCAAUAGUGAAAGACGGUUUCGGCUGUCACUUAUAGAUGGACCCGCGCCGUAUUAGCUAGUUGGUAAGGUAAUGGCUUACCAAGGCGACGAUACGUAGCCGACCUGAGAGGGUGAUCGGCCACACUGGAACUGAGACACGGUCCAGACUCCUACGGGAGGCAGCAGUAGGGAAUCUUCCGCAAUGGGCGAAAGCCUGACGGAGCAACGCCGCGUGAGUGAUGAAGGUCUUCGGAUCGUAAAACUCCGUUGUUAGGGAAGAACAAAUUUGUUAGUAACUGAACAAGUCUUGACGGUACCUAACCAGAAAGCCACGGCUAACUACGUGCCAGCCGCCGCCGUAA
rnacentral:rRNA from 1 species